rnacentral:rRNA from 6 species
AGACCCGAAACCCGGUGAUCUAGCCAUGGGCAGGUUGAAGGUUGGGUAACACUAACUGGAGGACCGAACCGACUAAUGUUGAAAAAUUAGCGGAUGACCUGUGGCUGGGGGUGAAAGGCCAAUCAAACCGGGAGAUAGCUGGUUCUCCCCGAAAGCUAUUUAGGUAGCGCCUCGUGAAUUCAUCUCCGGGGGUAGAGCACUGUUUCGGCUAGGGGGCCAUCCCGGCUUACCAACCCGAUGCAAACUGCGAAUACCGGAGAAUGUUAUCACGGGAGACACACGGCGGGUGCUAACGUCCGUCGUGAAGAGGGAAACAACCCAGACCGCCAGCUAAGGUCCCAAAGUCAUGGUUAAGUGGGAAACGAUGUGGGAAGGCCCAGACAGCCAGGAUGUUGGCUUAGAAGCAGCCAUCAUUUAAAGAAAGCGUAAUAGCUCACUGGUCGAGUCGGCCUGCGCGGAAGAUGUAACGGGGCUAAACCAUGCACCGAAGCUGCGGCAGCGACACUCAGGUGUUGUUGGGUAGGGGAGCGUUCUGUAAGCCUGUGAAGGUGGCCUGUGAGGGUUGCUGGAGGUAUCAGAAGUGCGAAUGCUGACAUAAGUAACGAUAAAGCGGGUGAAAAGCCCGCUCGCCGGAAGACCAAGGGUUCCUGUCCAACGUUAAUCGGGGCAGGGUGAGUCGACCCCUAAGGCGAGGCCGAAAGGCGUAGUCGAUGGGAAACGGGUUAAUAUUCCCGUACUUGGUGUUACUGCGAAGGGGGGACGGAGAAGGCUAUGUUGGCCGGGCGACGGUUGUCCCGGUUUAAGCGUGUAGGUGUGUGUUCCAGGUAAAUCCGGUU